rnacentral:rRNA from 1 species
GACGAACGCUGGCGGCGUGCUUAACACAUGCAAGUCGAACGGAAAGGCCCUGCUUGUGUGGGGUGCUCGAGUGGCGAACGGGUGAGUAACACGUGAGUAACCUGCCCUUGACUUUGGGAUAACUUCAGGAAACUGGGGCUAAUACCGGAUAGGAGCUCCUGCGGCAUGGUGGGGGCUGGAAAGUUUCGGCGGUUGGGGAUGGACCCGCGGCUUAUCAGCUUGUUGGUGGGGUAGUGGCUUACCAAGGCUUUGACGGGUAGCCGGCCUGAGAGGGUGACCGGGCACCAUGGGACUGAGAGACGGCGCAGACUCCUACGGGAGGCAGCAGUGGGGAAUAUUGCACAGUAAGCGGAAGCCUGAUACAGCAACGCCGCGUGCGGGAUGACGGCCUUCGAGUUGUGAACCGCUUUCGCCUGUGACGAAGCGUGAGUGACGGUAAUGGGUAAAGAAGCACCGGCUAACUACGUG